GACGAACGCUGGCGGCGUGCUUAACACAUGCAAGUCGAACGGAAAGGCCCAGCUUUUGUGGGGUGCUCGAGUGGCGAACGGGUGAGUAACACGUGAGUAACCUGCCCUUGACUUUGGGAUAACUUCAGGAAACUGGGGCUAAUACCGGAUAGGAGCUCCUGCUGCAUGGUGGGGGUUGGAAAGUUUCGGCGGUUGGGGAUGGACUCGCGGCUUAUCAGCUUGUUGGUGGGGUAGUGGCUUACCAAGGCUUUGACGGGUAGCCGGCCUGAGAGGGUGACCGGCCACAUUGGGACUGAGAUACGGCCCAGACUCCUACGGGAGGCAGCAGUGGGGAAUAUUGCACAAUGGGCGGAAGCCUGAUGCAGCAACGCCGCGUGCGGGAUGACGGCCUUCGGGUUGUAACCCGCUUUCGCCUGUGACGAAGCGUGAGUGACGGUAAUGGGUAAAGAAGCACCGGCUAACUACGUG
rnacentral:rRNA from 1 species